ensembl:lncRNA
AUAUAAUGUUAGCGUUAGCUUAUCUCAUUACUUAACGUUUGCAUAUACUCACUACUUGAGACGACCAACGUUAACGUGGCAUUUUUCAACGUAAGAAAAUGACCCAGGUGGCGCCGUUGCUCGAUGAACUCCGUGGCUCUUGUUCUUUGCACACGCCCCUUUCGGUGCAGUCGCUCGAGUUGACGUCCUCCUGGGUGAGGCUCUGCGGCGGUGCUGUGGCAGCAUAAAUUACCGAAAUGAAAGCUGCUCCCAUGGCGGGUCCACAGCAGUCGGCAAAAACGUGGCCUCCCCUGCACGUGUUCGCCAUGCCUUUGACACUGUGCUGUGGAUUCUUCUCCAUGGCAACCGUCCAGAGGAGAGCGGGGGGGAAAAAGGACCAAUUUAUCUUCAUUUAGGUUUUUGGCACCAACCCAAAUCCAGACCAGCCGGCUGAAGGAAACUCGAGAGCUCAACGUGGCCCUUUGGCCCCGAUGUUGCUCGGGCUUGACCGGAGGCUGAUUGGAUCCUUUGAGGUUUCUGACAAUCUAAGAAAUAGCUUUACAUUCCACUAGUUGUUAAACAAAGAAAGAAACACUAAUUGUUGCCCCCUAAAGCUAAAGUUGUAAACAGUGGGACGAAGCCAUAUUUGUUCUGUUUUUUACACGUCUUCCUUUAUCUCUUGUGCAUUGAAAAUGUUGUGCAUGUUUCUUAGAGUCAUGGCAGAGGAAGGCAGUUAAAAUGGCAGGCAAUAUUAAAAUAAAUGCAUCCAAUUUAAAAAAUAAAUCCAAUUUAAUACAAAAUUACUUCACUGAUUUCAUUCUUAUUUGGUGGUGUUAUAUUAUAAUUUAUAAGCAAUACAAAUUGUUUGCCAGAUUGUUACCUGAGAUUUAAAAGCCUUUUUGUUCACUUUAUACCAUAUUGUCAACUUUGUCCUUUACAGUUUACAAUAUAUGGCUUCAGGUCCAUUUUCAUGCUUACUUGAAGACCAGCUACAACCCACAACUUAGACAUUUUAAUCAGCAUUUUACUAUCAAUAAACUAAAUUGAGAUUCAUUUUUGUCCUAAUGGAAAUUGUUGGUACUCUGCAUAGGUCACACGCAUAAUAGGACGGAUGAUGUCCAUUCCAAUCCAAGAUUGGAUUGGAUCCAAGAUUUCACAUAGAAAUACAAGUAUCAUAGAAAUGCUGCUUGGAUCCCCAAUUUGUGAAAGAUUAGAAUUCACUAGCUAUCCCCUUUGUUCCCGUGUUUUUAGGUGUUUUAUAUUACAUUCUGUCUGUGUUUACCUCCUUUAGGAGUUUUAGGCCUUUGGGCUCAGUGUCUUUAUUGAGCUUUAGCUCGGACCACGAUACCUUCUCCAUUCAGCUGGGUAUAAAUUAGAAUUGAUUUUAGUGAAGCAUCAUGGCCUUGGUGGCCAAAUAACUAACAAUAACCUUCACAGUACGAGUGGGCGGAGAGCCGGCAUGGGCAGCAAAUAAACACACUGAGGAAGACAGCGGCAUUAUGCUCUUCAUCAUAUAGACUCAGAAUCAGCUUUAUUCCCUCGUGCUUAUGCAUACAUGUGCUCUGUUACAAAACCCAGUACAUACAAUUAAGUGAAAAGGGAAUAUAUAUAUAUAUGUGUGUGUGUGUGUGUGUGUGAAUGUGUGUGUACAUAUAUAGCUACAAUAUAUUUGCAGAUUUUCCAGCCCAGUUUGUCACCAUGAUGCGUGUACAUUUUGUCUACAGAUGACAAGAUUCAUCAAUACUCUCUGUCAAUUCCUGCGUUCAACCUGUUGAUUUAAUCCCAUUGCAAAGUUGUCAUUUUGAGUAAUAUUCAUGCUGCCUCUGCACUGAGGAAACUAUCUCCCCUUUCCCUCCUCCCUCUCUCUAACUACGCUAACUUUCCCAAAAACCCACCCCGCACAACGCCGGCUUCAUCGCACGGAGCUCAGCAGUCAAGUCGCUCAUUCAGAUUGGUGGAGGGGAGACCGGAGAGAGGGGAGACGGGUGAGUAGGGAGACGGGUGUGAGAGAUCCCAGGGACCCCUGCCGCCGUGUCUGGAUGCAGCGCCGGCUGCGCAGCGAGAGAGAGCGCAUGAGGAGAGGCGGCGCGGCGGAGUUUGUGGGUGCGCAGCUCGGUCGAGGAGCUCGACUGGCAGCCCGAGAUUGAUGGAUGGAGCCGCGUAUCGCACAUAACAUCAAUUCUGUCCCACUUUCUCUUUCAUUCCGAGUCUCACUCCGUCAUUACUCCUCCCUUCGCCUCUGUAUCCCGCAACCCCCCCCCCCCCUCCCUCCCACGAACCCCUCCCUCCCUCCCUCCCGCUGCUGCUGCUCCCGGUCCCUCG